rnacentral:rRNA from 1 species
AUACAGAGGGUGCGAGCGUUAAUCGGAAUUACUGGGCGUAAAGCGCGCGUAGGCGGCUUGGUCAGUCGGAUGUGGAAGCCCUGGGCUCAACCUGGGAAUUGCAUUCGAUACUGCCAAGCUAGAGUAUGGGAGAGGGAAGUGGAAUUUCCGGUGUAGCGGUGAAAUGCGUAGAUAUCGGAAAGAACACCAGUGGCGAAGGCGACUUCCUGGCCCAAUACUGACGCUGAGGUGCGAAAGCGUGGGGAGCGAACAGGAUUAGAUACCCUAGUAGUCC